UUAGCACAAAAGUUUCCAGCACAAGUUUGGAUCUUUACCAUUGAGGGUGGCUGACUGUUCUCAACCAACCAUCAUUCAUACGCAAAAACUUUAAAGAUAAGUAUGAACGUGCCCAGAGCAGUUUUUGAUCUUUACCAUUAAGGAGGCUGACUGACUAUCCUCUGCCACCCAACAUUAACACAACAAAAACUAAAGAAAUGUUACUCCAUAUGGACCUAUUCAUUUACUCAUUAUGCUGUGAGUACACCACAGUUUUAUCAGUGAAAAAUUUAUAUUUGUGUGUUUUCUCACUGCUUGGCAAGGACAGAUGUGGCCCUGUUAAAAAUAUUUAAAUGUUGUUUGGUUUAAGGAACAGCACACUGAUUUUGUUUUAAAAUAUUCCUGUUUGGACAGUCUGUUAAAGUCAUAAAGGAAUGGUUGAUAUAUUUCAUAAGGAAAGUGUAAAUGUAAUAUUAGUUUUUAAUGUUGUGAAUUUGGACUGAACAGCACACUUCUGUUUUAUAUCUAAACCUUUUGUAAAAUAAAUGAUUGUUUAAUAAA